CCCGCACAAGCGGUGGAGUAUGUGGUUUAAUUCGAUGCAACGCGAAGAACCUUACCUGGUCUUGACAUCCCGGAGACCCUUAGGAAACUAGGGGUGCUUCCAUCUGGAAGAAUCUGGAGACAGGUGCUGCAUGGCUGUCGUCAGCUCGUGUCGUGAGAUGUUGGGUUAAGUCCCGCAACGAGCGCAACCCUUGCCUUUAGUUGCCAGCAGUUCGGCUGGGCACUCUAAAGGGACUGCCGGUGUUAAACCGGAGGAAGGUGGGGAUGACGUCAAGUCCUCAUGGCCUUUACGACCAGGGCUACACACGUACUACAAUGGCCGAUACAAAGGGCAGCGACACUGCGAGGUGAAGCCAAUCCCGUAAAAUCGGUCUCAGUCCGGAUUGGAGUCUGCAACUCGACUCCAUGAAGUUGGAAUCGCUAGUAAUCGUGGAUCAGCAUGCCACGGUGAAUACGUUCCCGGGCCUU
rnacentral:rRNA from 1 species